rnacentral:pre_miRNA from 1 species
GCCCCCUUCCCCCUCCGCCCGCUUAGCCGCCACGUGGUAGCUGAGCGGGGGCCUCGGGGUGGCGC